UACGUAGGGGGCUAGCGUUGUCCGGAAUCAUUGGGCGUAAAGCGCGUGUAGGCGGUUCGGUAAGUCCGCUGUGAAAGUCGGGGGCUCAACCCUCGAAAGCCGGUGGAUACUGUCGAACUAGAGUGCGGAAGAGGCGAGUGGAAUUCCUGGUGUAGCGGUGAAAUGCGCAGAUAUCAGGAGGAACACCAAUUGCGAAGGCAGCUCGCUGGGACGUUACUGACGCUGAGACGCGAAAGCGUGGGGAGCGAACAGG
rnacentral:rRNA from 1 species